rnacentral:rRNA from 1 species
UGGGGAAUAUUGCACAAUGGGCGCAAGCCUGAUGCAGCAACGCCGCGUGAGGGAAGACGGUUUUCGGAUUGUAAACCUCUGUCAUUAGUGACGAAGAAGUGACGGUAGCUAAUGAGGAAGCCACGGCUAACUACGUGCCAGCAGCCGCGGUAAUACGUAGGUGGCGAGCGUUAUCCGGAAUUACUGGGUGUAAAGGGAGCGCAGGCGGGAUAGCAAGUCAGCGGUGAAAUGCAUGGGCUAACCCAUGAGCUGCCGUUGAAACUGUUAUUCUUGAGUGGAGUAGAGGCAGGCGGAAUUCCGAGUGUAGCGGUGAAAUGCGUAGAUAUUCGGAGGAACACCAGUGGCGAAGGCGGUCUGCUGGGCUCUAACUGACGCUGAGGCUCGAAAGUGUGGGGAGCAAACA